AAAGUCGUAACAAGGUUUCCGUAGGUGAACCUGCGGAAGGAUCAUUACAAGUUUUGUAGGUCUGCGUCGCAAGACAGCAAGACUCUAUAUACGCGUGUUGUGUUUGACAGAGUUAUAUUAGAGACAAUUAUUGAAAACUUUUAACAAUGGAUCUCUUGGUUCUC
rnacentral:misc_RNA from 1 species